AUGGUUGGCGGUGAUUUCAACAUGAUUGCCUCUGCGGCGGAUAAGAACAACGACAGAUUGCACCACCGUUCCAUGCGUCGCUUCCGUAGUUUCCUGGCGGACGAGGAGCUCCGGGACCUUUACCUCCAUGGUAGGCGCUAUACCUGGUCCAGUGAGCGCGAUCCGCCCACGCUUGUUCGCAUCGAUCGUGUGCUCACUUCCCUGAGUUGGGAGACCCUCCAUCCGCACUGCUUCAUGCGUUGCCUCUCCUCGGCCGCCUUAGAUACGCCCCCUUUGUCGGCAUUCUGGGAACGGGGGUACCCAGACUUGCCUGCCUGCGGCCUGCGGCGUGGCUCAAGGAGUGGCCCAGUACGGCCCAUCUUCAUCAACACACGCUCAAGACCCUCGCGAGGGGCCAAGCCUCGUGGGGCGGACGACGGGAGGCUUCCUUAG
rnacentral:rRNA from 1 species